UACAGGGGGGGCAAGCGUUGUUCGGAAUUACUGGGCGUAAAGGGUUCGUAGGCGGCCAUUCAAGUCCGACGUGAAAUCCCAAAGCUUAACUCUGGAACUGCGUCGGAUACUGGAUGGCUUGAAUUCGGGAGAGGGAUGCAGAAUUCCAGGUGUAGCGGUGAAAUGCGUAGAUAUCUGGAGGAAUACCGGUGGCGAAGGCGGCAUCCUGGACCGACAUUGACGCUGAGGAGCGAAAGCUAGGGGAGCAAACGGG
rnacentral:rRNA from 1 species